rnacentral:rRNA from 1 species
CCUACGGGUGGCAGCAGUGAGGAAUAUUGGUCAAUGGCCGGAAGGCUGAACCAGCCAUGCCGCGUGAAGGUCAGUGCCCUAUGGGCGUUAAACUUCUUUUGUGCGGGAGCAAUAAUGGUCACGUGUGGCCAGACGAGAGUACCGUACGAAUAAGCAUCGGCUAACUCCGUGCCAGCAGCCGCGGUAAUACGGGGGAUGCAAGCGUUAUCCGGAUUUAUUGGGUUUAAAGGGUGCGUAGGGUGUGAGGUAAGUCAGCGGUGAAAUGCCCCCGGUCAACGGGGUGAAGUGCCAUUGAUACUGCCUUGCUGGAAUGCGGAUGCCGUGGGAGGAAUGUGUGGUGUAGCGGUGAAAUGCAUAGAUAUCACACAGAACACCGAUUGCGAAGGCAGCUCACGAAUCCGCGAUUGACGCUGAUGCACGAAAGCGUGGGUAUCAAACAGGAUUAGAUACCCCAGUAGUC